GCGAUUGAUAAACAUUCUAAAAAUGUUAUCAUAAAAACGUUAUCCUUGCAUUGCUAGUGUAACAUUUUAAAAACGUUAUUAAAAAGUCUUAAAAUGAGUCAUAAUUUGCAUAGCAGCAUAAUUUGUGUAUUCAGUGACACAAAGAAUGACACAUUCCAGUGCCCCUUUCCCCUCCUGGCCUGAGAGAGACAAAAACUGAUUAUAGGACUAAUUGUUCUUAAAGAUGUUUUUGAAGUUGCAAACAAAUGUUUAAUAACAUUAAUAUAUUAUUAUAUUCCAUAGAACGUUAGUUAAAAUAUAAUCACAUUAUCACCUAACAGAACUGUUGACGUGUACAGAUAUCUUGUUUUAAAAUACUUAACACAUUUAUAUAAAUGAAUUGAAUGAAAUGCAAUAAAAUCUUUUUUUUUUUUUUUUAUUUAAAUUAAAAACUUACAGUGUGCUUAAAUGUCAGAAGACAGGUCAUUUAUUCUCAAAAAGGUUUUUUUUUUUCUGACAUGUGAAGGAGAAAAUACACUAGAAUGUAAAGUGUAUAUAAUAUUUGAUCGUCCCACGAUCCACAUUCGACAUCAUCUCUACGUGGAAGGGUGGGCGUGGCUUUGGAACAUCCGUGCGCGUCAAUCAAGCACAGCGGUCAGCGGCGGGAAGGUCACUCAGCUGGUAGACGGCGUCUCUCUGUUGAUCCUCCCUAAACUAGUGGCAGCUGAGACCACCCUCUUCUUUGAGACUUCAGAUACCCUCAACUGCUUACAUAACAGGCUUUUUUCAAGACAGUUGCCAGGUAAAGCUGAUUCGGAGUUUCAAAAAGCUCCGUUGUGUUCUUUGCUCGCUUUAUGUAAUUUGUUGUUUGAAUAACCGUGGACAUUAAAUCAUUACAAUUAAUAGGCCUAAUGUAGGCUUACAAUGUUUUUAUUAAACUGAGAUCACACUAAAUACAAUUUCCGUCGUAUUAAAAACAUUUCAUAAAAAUUUUUAAAAGCAUCCCCCUCUGUUUUUUUCACAAAUCGCACCCUGUGCACAACCAUGCGAAACAUUGUGAAUGAUUCCUUGAAAUUCUUAACCUCAAAGGUGCUUGUCACAACUGAGAAGACACUAGUGUAAUAGUAUGUUUUUAUAACCAUGUGCAUUUUCACCAUUUGUUUUCUUCAAGUGAUCGUUCCAUGUUUCCUGUGCAGACUCCCAUCAUGGCUAAGCGUGUGGCUGUGAUCGGAGCAGGCAGCUCUGGACUGACCUCCAUCAAAUGCUGCUUGGAUGAAGGGCUGGAGCCUGUGUGUUUUGAGAGCAGUGAUGAUAUCGGGGGACUCUGGAAGUUUAAGGUUGAAAAUGAAUUCAAUUCAGCUUAACAAUAAAGGUGAAGUGUGUCAAUUCUGUGCCAUACAUGGUACCAAAAUGAAUUGAAAAAUGACUGAUAUAAUCAUAUUUGACAAGAAUGACUUUUAACACACUGUAAUUCUAAGCAGUACAAGAUCAGGUUCUCCGACUCAAGGUAGAUAAUGUUUUUGAAAGAAGUCUCUUAUGCUCACCAAGGCUGUAUUUAUUUAAUAAAAAAUACAGUAAAAAUAGUAAUAUUGUGAAAUGUUAUGAUAAUUUAAAAUAACUAUAAUAUACCAUUUAAAUUACAUUUUAAUAUAUUCAAAUAUAAUUUAUUCCUCUGAAGGCAAAGCUGAAUUUUCAGCAGCCAUUAUUCCAG
rnacentral:lncRNA from 1 species